CUGGACGACCCGGAGCUGAGG
rnacentral:misc_RNA from 1 species